CCUACGGGUGGCAGCAGUGGGGAAUAUUGGACAAUGGGGGGAACCCUGAUCCAGCCAUGCCGCGUGUGUGAAGAAGGCCCUCGGGUUGUAAAGCACUUUCAGUGAGGAAGAACGCCUGGUGGUUAAUACCCAUCAGGAAAGACAUCACUCACAGAAGAAGCACCGGCUAACUCCGUGCCAGCAGCCGCGGUAAUACGGAGGGUGCGAGCGUUAAUCGGAAUUACUGGGCGUAAAGCGCGCGUAGGUGGCUUGAUAAGCCGGUUGUGAAAGCCCCGGGCUCAACCUGGGAACGGCAUCCGGAACUGUCCAGCUAGAGUGCAGGAGAGGAAGGUAGAAUUCCCGGUGUAGCGGUGAAAUGCGUAGAGAUCGGGAGGAAUACCAGUGGCGAAGGCGGCCUUCUGGACUGACACUGACACUGAGGUGCGAAAGCGUGGGUAGCAAACAGGAUUAGAUACCCUAGUAGUC
rnacentral:rRNA from 1 species